UACGAGGGGGGCGAGCGUUGUUCGGAAUUAUUGGGCGUAAAGGGUGCGUAGGCGGUUCCGCAAGUCCUGUGUGAAAUCUUCGGGCUCAACUCGAAGUCUGCACGGGAAACUGCGGGGCUUGAGUGUGGGAGAGGUGAGUGGGAUUCCCGGUGUAGCGGUGAAAUGCGUAGAUAUCGGGAGGAACACCUGUGGCGAAAGCGGCUCACUGGACCAUAACUGACGCUGAUGCACGAAAGCUGGGGGGAGCAAACAGG
rnacentral:rRNA from 1 species